UUAGAUUCGUCUCGCGAUUUACAACCCAUCUAUGCAAAAAGUUUUGCAAAUAGACUUCAUUUAAUACUUCAAAUGCCCUAUUUACAUCUUUACAUAUUUUUGUAAAAUGAACUAAACACACCCAUAGUUACAUCCCUGUUUGAAUAGAAGCACGAGCUUGUCAAUGAGUUAUUAGAACCUAGUCAACCUACAGCUCGCAUCCGGAAACAUAUUUCAAGUAGAGAGAAGAGCUCGUCAAGGAUAAGGUCGGUCACUUUGUUUAUCUGGAUUCUUUUUAAGCGUGAUUCUUUUGAGUUUUAGAUAUCUAGACAAGCUCGGUAUUUUCAUGGUAAAUGUAAUGUAUAUUUGCCUACACUGAAUAGUGUUAGAUCAGUUGCAAAGCAAAAUGAAUGCUAAAUCCUUUGAGAAUAUGUAGAAUUGCAUUUCCACUUUCAUCUUAUUUUUUGGGGCUAAGAGAAUCUCUUAUAUCCACUUCUUCUGAAUUAUGGAAAAUUUUAUUUUUAUUUCCUACCUUCAAAUGCAUAUCGAUUCUCACUUCUGAGGAGGUGUAUUUACUGCAUUAGAGAUGCUUUCUGACAAGGUGCACACAAAAGUCUUUUUUGCAAGUACUGGUACUAGGAUCUGUGUGGAAUGCAUGAACUUAGUAGUCACAUAGAUUUGAUUGUCAUUUAAAAAAAAUAUUAGAUAACCACUUUUUCCUGAAGCUUGCUUGCCCAGAAUGUGUAGCAGAUUUGAUGAGACCACAGAGGUUUCAAUAAGAGACCACCAUAAGACAUUCUCCCUUUUCCUUUUAUUUCUGAAUCUAAUGCUUGUUUGAUCUGAAAUUGUACAUGUAUGGCUAAAGCAGUGUUCGGUGUUGCGAGCACCCCUGAGCAUAGUUAUGGAGUGCCAUAAUUUAGACUGCAUCAUUUAUAUCUCACUGUGCCAUCUCCACCAACAAAUACUUCUAAGAGAAACAUAUCAGAGCAAAAGUGAUAACAACAGAGCCCAGGAAUAUCCUGCUGAGGCACUUCUAUCAGAAGUCCAAGGAGAAGAUAAGCUAUUCGAUCAAGGCUAUAUAGAUCACAUGACUACGGAAUCCAACCAUCUAUACGUGAAUCCUGUCCAGAAUUCUAGGUGAGGCCAAAGAGAGCAGCUCCACACAAUCUCGCUCAGGAGAACAACAAACAACCUAAGGGUCCUGUCACCCAUGCUGGAAGCCAGUCAAACGCAAGAAGCCUCCUUUUUGAUGUAAACAAGUAAUACCCUCCUUUCUGGAUAAGUUAGCAUGAGUUGCCUCUGCUUGUUGUGGCCACCCUAAAAAGAUCUGAUAUACAAAGGGAACCUUCAAUGUACCUCACGCCCCUUAACUUGGUUAUUGUGUAGCCAUUCUCUGUUUUAACACGGAAUUUGUGCAAGUCUUGAAGCGAUGUUAGCCCUUCGAUGCCAUGAAUUAGAGCAGUUGUAUCUGCAUCUACAUGCAAGUGUUGCAGGCUAAUUAGUGAAUUCAUGCUUCUUGGUAACUAUGUGAAUCUACAGUGGUGCUGCGGCGUGUAAAGUUGUUUGCUGAUUUGUUCUAUGGUGAUUGUACUGCCUUGAAUUGGCUAUGUAUAUGCAUACAUAUAUGCCUGUGUCUGAUGCUGAUUCCAGUUAGAUUCAGCUAGAA